UACGACUACAUAUCAGGCAUAUCAAUAAGCGGAGGAAAAGAAACUAACAAGGAUUCCCUUAGUAACGGCGAGUGAAGCGGGAAGAGCUCAAAUUUGAAAUCUUCAAGGUUUUACCUUGACGAAUUGUAGUUUAAAGAAGUGUUUUCUGUUGAAGUUUUGGUAAAAGUUCUUUGGAAUAGGACAUCAUAGAGGGUGAGAAUCCCGUAUUUGACCAUUAUUUUCAGCUGUGUGAUACACUUUCAAAGAGUCGGAUUGUUUGGGAAUGCAGUCCAAAAUGGGUGGUAAAUUUCAUCUAAAGCUAAAUAUUGGCGAGAGACCGAUAGCGAACAAGUACCGUGAGGGAAAGAUGAAAAGAACUUUGAAAAGAGAGUUAAACAGUACGUGAAAUUGUCAAAAGGGAAGCGUUUGACACCAGUGUUGUUUUCUCGAAAAUCAAUUAAAAAGAGUUGGAUUUUGUGUUGUAUUGACCUUAACAGCUUGCUUCACUCUUUUCCAGCUUUUUUUAAUGCACUUUUCGUUUAACAAGUCAACAUCAGUUUCUUUUGUUGUAAAAGGGUCAUUGGAAGGUGGCUUUCUCUUCGGAGAAAGUGUUUAUAGCCUUUGAUCUCUGCAAUCGGAGAGACUGAGGUCUGCAGCGUAGAUCCUUCGGGGUUAGAUACAUUUGUGCUAAGUUAUAGCCUUUUCAUAGACAACUUGUUGACUAUGUAUCAGUCUUGUGACUUACUCGCUUAUGCUACUUUACCUACGCUUAGGAUGUUGAGCGCAUGUCUCUCUCU
rnacentral:rRNA from 1 species